rnacentral:ncRNA from 1 species
AUUUGGUCCUAAUCUUAAUGUUACUUUUUACUAAACCUACACAUGUAAGUAUCAGCAAACCAGUGAAAAUGCCCUAAAAGUCCACACCAGACAAAAGGAGCUGGUAUCAGGCACGCCACGACAGCCCAAAACACCUUGCUUCGCCACACCCCCAAGGGUACUACAACAGUGAUUAACUUUAAGCAAUAAGCAUAAGCUUGACUUAGUUAUAGUAAAUUACAUUUAGGGUUGGUAAAUCUCGUGCCAGCCACCGCGGUUAUACAAGAAACCCAAAGCAACAACAACAACGGCGUAAAAUGUGGUUAAACCAAAUUCAUAAAAAUCUAAGGUUGCCCCUUCCACCAAACUGUCAUACGUAAAGUACAAAUCAACCCAAUACGAAAGUAACCUUAAUAUAUUAGAAAACUUGAAUCCACGAUCGUUAAGACACAAACUGGGAUUAGAUACCCCACUAUGCUUAACCUAAACUUAGAUACUUUAAAUACAAAAUUAUCCGCCAGAAAACUACGAGCAAAACGCUUAAAACUCCAAGGACUUGGCGGUACCUCAAAUCCACCUAGAGGAGCCUGUUCUAUAAUCGAUAAUCCACGAUAAACCUCACCAUCCUUUGCCAACUCAGCCUAUAUACCACCGUCACAGCCUACCUUAUGAAAGUCAAAAAGUAAGCUCAAUAGCUGUUACAGCUAAAAAGUCAGGUCAAGGUGUAGCCAAUUAAGAUGGAAGAAAUGGGCUACAUUUUCUAUAAUAGAAAUCAAAACCACGGAACAGAACUGUGAAACACAGUCUAGAUUAAGAAGGAUUUAGCAGUAAAUUGCGAGCAGAGAGCCCAAUUUAAAGCGGACCUGAGGUGCGCACACACCGCCCGUCACCCCCAUCAACCAACAAAUUCUCAACCGUAAAUAACACCUUAUCCAACACAAACAGAUGGGGCAAGUCGUAACAAGGUAAGUGUACCGGAAGGUGUACUUGGACUACAAAAUAUAGCUUAACC